AGAGUUGAUCCUGGCUCAGAACGAACGCUGGCGGCAGGCCUAACACAUGCAAGUCGAGCGCGCUUUCGGGUGAGCGGCGGACGGGUUAGUAACGCGUGGGAACGUGCCCUUCUCUACGGAAUAGCCUCUGGAAACGGAGAGUAAUACCGUAUACGCCCUUUGGGGGAAAGAUUUAUCGGAGAAGGAUCGGCCCGCGUUAGAUUAGGUAGUUGGUGGGGUAAUGGCCUACCAAGCCUACGAUCUAUAGCUGGUUUUAGAGGAUGAUCAGCAACACUGGGACUGAGACACGGCCCAGACUCCUACGGGAGGCAGCAGUGGGGAAUCUUAGACAAUGGGGGCAACCCUGAUCUAGCCAUGCCGCGUGAGUGAUGAAGGCCUUAGGGUCGUAAAGCUCUUUCGCCUGUGAUGAUAAUGACAGUAGCAGGUAAAGAAACCCCGGCUAACUCCGUGCCAGCAGCCGCGGUAAUACGGAGGGGGUUAGCGUUGUUCGGAAUUACUGGGCGUAAAGCGCGCGUAGGCGGAUUAGAAAGUUGGGGGUGAAAUCCCGGGGCUCAACCUCGGAACUGCCUCCAAAACUGCUAGUCUAGAGUUCGAGAGAGGUGAGUGGAAUUCCGAGUGUAGAGGUGAAAUUCGUAGAUAUUCGGAGGAACACCAGUGGCGAAGGCGGCUCACUGGCUCGAUACUGACGCUGAGGUGCGAAAGUGUGGGGAGCAAACAGGAUUAGAUACCCUGGUAGUCCACACCGUAAACGAUGAAUGCCAGUCGUCGGGUAGUAUACUAUUCGGUGACACACCUAACGGAUUAAGCAUUCCGCCUGGGGAGUACGGUCGCAAGAUUAAAACUCAAAGGAAUUGACGG
rnacentral:rRNA from 1 species